AUUGCCUCUAGAGUUCCCCUGAACACUUCACUGGGAACUUGCCGAGAAUUUUCUCUCAUCAGCUUACUCAUAAUUUUCCUACUGAAGUGUUUGGGGGAACUCCCGAUGCCGC
rfam:Eucalyptus grandis cultivar BRASTZ1 unplaced genomic scaffold scaffold_7, whole genome shotgun sequence.